GAGGAAUAUUGGGCAAUGGACGAAAGUCCGACCCAGCCAUGCCGCGUGAAGGAUGAAGGCGUUCUGCGUUGUAAACUUCUUUUAUCAGGGAAGAAACCACUGAUUUCUAUUAGUGUUGACGGUACCUGAGGAAUAAGCACCGGCUAACUCCGUGCCAGCAGCCGCGGUAAUACGGAGGGUGCAAGCGUUAUCCGGAUUUACUGGGUUUAAAGGGUGUGUAGGCGGGCUUUUAAGUCUGGGGUGAAAUCCCCGAGCUCAACUCGGGAACUGCCUUGGAUACUAUUAGCCUUGAAUUAUGUUGAGGUAGGCGGAAUAUAACAUGUAGCGGUGAAAUGCAUAGAUAUGUUAUAGAACACCGAUUGCGAAGGCAGCUUGCUAAACAUAUAUUGACGCUGAGGCACGAAAGCGUGGGGAUCAAAC
rnacentral:rRNA from 1 species